UGGACUUUGGGGAGAGAUUUUACAGAAUUCUGAUGGUCAUAAAACGACAUUGUAACAUAUCAGAGGCCCUGGCCAAUGUUUUUGCUCUAUCGCCUAAGUCUGGGGGCCCCCAUUUGGGUUGGGGGCCCCCGGGUUCUCCCGGUCUGAGCCCAUAGUAGUUACGCCACUGUGGUGUGUACCAGGCGGAGAUUGGUUGCAAGUCAAGAAUAUAAUGUUUUGCACCUGAAUUACUUUUGAUUUUCGGAAAUUGAAAUACUUUACCUUCGCCGAUGACCUCACUUUAUAACUGGAGUGAAAUCUC
rnacentral:lncRNA from 1 species